rnacentral:rRNA from 1 species
UACGGAGGAUGCGAGCGUUAUCCGGAUUUAUUGGGUUUAAAGGGUGCGUAGGUGGCUUUUUAAGUCAGCGGUGAAAUUUUGCAGCUUAACUGUAACAGUGCCGUUGAUACUGGGGAGCUAGGAUUUGGUUGCUGUGGGUGGAAUGUGUGGUGUAGCGGUGAAAUGCGCAGAUAUCAGGAGGAACACCGAUGGCGAAGGCAGGUCUCUGGGCCACUACUGACGCUGAGAAGCGAAAGCAUGGGGAGCGAACAGGAUUAGAUA